rnacentral:rRNA from 1 species
AUUGAACGCUAGCGGGAUGCCUUACACAUGCAAGUCGAACGGAGUGGCGAACGGGUGAGUAAUGUAUCGGAACGUGCCCAGUAGCGGGGGAUAACUACGCGAAAGCGUAGCUAAUACCGCAUACUAUUGGAGCGGCAGAUAUCGGUUUAGCGAGGUGGGGGGGGAACGGCUCACCAAGGCGACUAUCCGUAGCCGGUUUGAGAGGACGAUCAGGCACACUGGGACUGAGACACGUCCCGGACUCCACCGGGAGGCAGCAGUGGGGAACUUGGGACAAUGGGGGAAACCCUGAUCCAGCCAUCCCGCGUGGGCGAAGAAGGCCGUCGGGUUGUAAAGCACUUUUGGCAGGAAAGCGGUACCUGCAGAAUAAGCACCGGCUAACUACGUGCCAGCAGCCGCGGUAAUUC